UAACAGAGGGUUCGAUUCUGGCUCAGAUUGAACGCUGGCGGGAUGCUUUACACAUGCAAGUCGAACGGUAGCACGGACGAUCUGGUGGCGAGUGGCGAACGGGUGAGUAAUGUAUCGGAACGUGCCCUAGUAGCGGGGGAUAACUACGCGAAAGCGUAGCUAAUGCCACAUACGCCCUUCGGGGAAAGCGGGGGACCUUCGGGCCUCGCACUAUUAGAGCGGCCGAUAUCGGAUUAGCUAGUUGGUGGGGUAACGGCUCACCAAGGCGACGAUCAUGUAGCUGGUUUGAGAGGACGACCAGCCACACUGGGACUACGAGACACGGCCCAGACUCCUACGGGAGGCAGCAGUGGGGAAUUUUGGACAAUGGGGGAAACCCUGAUCCGGCCAUCCCGCGUGCGAUGAAGGCCUUCGGGUUGUAAAGCACUUUUUGGCAGGAAAGAAACGGCACGGGAUAAUACCCCGUGCAACUGACAAUGCCUGCAGAAUAAGCACCGGCUAACUACGUGCCAGCAGCCGCGGUAAUACGUAGGAUGCAAGCGUUAAUCGGAAUUACUGGGCGUAAAGCGUGCGCAGGCGGUUCGGAAAGAAAGAUGUGAAAUCCCAGAGCUUAACUUUGGAACUGCAUUUUAACUACCGAGCUAGAGUGUGUCAGAGGGAGGUGGAAUUCCGCGUGUAGCAGUGAAAUGCGUAGAUAUGCGGAGGAACACCGAUAGCGAAGGCAGCCUCCUGGGAUAACACUGACGCUCCAUGCACGAAAGCGUGGGGAGCAAACAGGAUUAGAUACCCUGGUAGUCCACGCCCUAAACGAUGUCAACUAGCUGUUGGGGCCUUCGGGCCUUGGUAGCGCAGCUAACGCGUGAAGUUGACCGCCUGGGAAGUACGGUCGCAAGAUUAAAACUCAAAGGAAUUGACGGGGACCCGCACAAGCGGUGGAUGAUGUGGAUUAAUUCGAUGCAACGCGAAAAACCUUACCUACCCUUGACAUGUCUGGAAUCCCGAAGAGAUUUGGGGAGUGCUCGCAAAACCGGAACACAGGUGCUGCAUGGCUGUCGUCAGCUCGUGUCGUGAGAUGUUGGGUUAAGUCCCGCAACGAGCGCAACCCUUGUCAUUAGUUGCUACGAAAGGGCACUCUAAUGAGACUGCCGGUGACAAACCGGAGGAAGGUGGGGAUGACGUCAAGUCCUCAUGGCCCUUAUGGGUAGGGCUUCACACGUCAUACAAUGGUCGGGACAGAGGGUCGCCAACCCGCGAGGGGGAACCAAUCCCGAAGCGAUCGUAGUCCGGAUCGCAGUCUGCAACUCGACUGCGUGAAGUCGGAAUCGCUAGUAAUCGCGGAUCAGCAUGUCGCGGUGAAUACGUUCCCGGGUCUUGUACACACCGCCCGUCACACCAUGGGAGUGGGUUUUACCAGAAGUAGUUAGCCUAACCGUAAGGAGGGCGAUUACCACGGUAAGUUCAUGACUGGGGUGAAGUCGUAAAAGGUAG
rnacentral:rRNA from 1 species